rnacentral:rRNA from 1 species
AGAGUUUGAUCCUGGCUCAGGACGAACGCUGGCGGCGCGCCUAACACAUGCAAGUCGUACGAGCGAGAGAGAGCUUGCUUUCUCAAGCGAGUGGCGAACGGGUGAGUAACGCGUGAGGAACCUGCCUCAAAGAGGGGGACAACAGUUGGAAACGACUGCUAAUACCGCAUAAGCCCACAGCUCGGCAUCGAGCAGAGGGAAAAGGAGCAAUCCGCUUUGAGAUGGCCUCGCGUCCGAUUAGCUAGUUGGUGAGGUAAUGGCCCACCAAGGCGACGAUCGGUAGCCGGACUGAGAGGUUGAACGGCCACAUUGGGACUGAGACACGGCCCAGACUCCUACGGGAGGCAGCAGUGGGGAAUAUUGCACAAUGGGGGAAACCCUGAUGCAGCGACGCCGCGUGGAGGAAGAAGGUCUUCGGAUUGUAAACUCCUGUUGUUGAGGAAGAUAAUGACGGUACUCAACAAGGAAGUGACGGCUAACUACGUGCCAGCAGCCGCGGUAAAACGUAGGUCACAAGCGUUGUCCGGAAUUACUGGGUGUAAAGGGAGCGCAGGCGGGAAGACAAGUUGGAAGUGAAAUCUAUGGGCUCAACCCAUAAACUGCUUUCAAAACUGUUUUUCUUGAGUAGUGCAGAGGUAGGCGGAAUUCCCGGUGUAGCGGUGGAAUGCGUAGAUAUCGGGAGGAACACCAGUGGCGAAGGCGGCCUACUGGGCACCAACUGAUGCUGAGGCUCGAAAGUGUGGGUAGCANACAGGAUUAGAUACCCUGGUAGUCCACACCGUAAACGAUGAUUACUAGGUGUUGGAGGAUUGACCCCUUCAGUGCCGCAGUUAACACAAUAAGUAAUCCACCUGGGGAGUACGACCGCAAGGUUGAAACUCAAAGGAAUUGACGGGGGCCCGCACAAGCAGUGGAGUAUGUGGUUUAAUUCGACGCAACGCGAAGAACCUUACCAAGUCUUGACAUCCUGCGACGCACAUAGAAAUAUGUGUUUCCUUCGGGACGCGGAGACAGGUGGUGCAUGGUUGUCGUCAGCUCGUGUCGUGAGAUGUUGGGUUAAGUCCCGCAACGAGCGCAACCCUUACUGUCAGUUACUACGCAAGAGGACUCUGGCAGGACUGCCGUUGACAAAACGGAGGAAGGUGGGGAUGACGUCAAAUCAUCAUGCCCUUUAUGACUUGGGCUACACACGUACUACAAUGGCGUUAAACAAAGAGAAGCAAGACCGCGAGGUGGAGCAAAACUCAGAAACAACGUCCCAGUUCGGACUGCAGGCUGCAACUCGCCUGCACGAAGUCGGAAUUGCUAGUAAUCGUGGAUCAGCAUGCCACGGUGAAUACGUUCCCGGGCCUUGUACACACCGCCCGUC